rnacentral:rRNA from 1 species
CGAGCUCCGGCUCGACUCUCCCACCCUUUGUGAACGUACCUCUGUUGCUUUGGCGGCUCCGGCCGCCAAAGGACCUUCAAACUCCAGUCAGUAAACGCAGACGUCUGAUAAACAAGUUAAUAAACUAAAACUUUCAACAACGGAUCUCUUGGUUCUGGCAUCGAUGAAGAACGCAGCGAAAUGCGAUAAGUAAUGUGAAUUGCAGAAUUCAGUGAAUCAUCGAAUCUUUGAACGCACAUUGCGCCCCUUGGUAUUCCGGGGGGCAUGCCUGUUCGAGCGUCAUUACAACCCUCAAGCUCUGCUUGGAAUUGGGCACCGUCCUCACUGCGGACGCGCCUCAAAGACCUCGGCGGUGGCUGUUCAGCCCUCAAGCGUAGUAGAAUACACCUCGCUUUGGAGCGGUUGGCGUCGCCCGCCGGACGAACCUUCUGAACUUUUCUCAAGGUUGACCUCGGAUCAGGUAGGGAUACCCGCUGAACUUAAGCAUAUCAAUAAGCGGAGGAAG